AUGUCGGGGAGGUGGCGCGGCGCGGGGGGACGGCUCGUCAUGGAUGGGCUUGCCGUGGCGCCCCCUCUCCGGCGCUGUUCCAGAGGAUUGGCUGGCGAGGGCGAGGGCGGCGGCGGUGGCGGUGGAAGGACGCGGCCUCGCCCGGGGUGGAGGGGUCCGGCUGGGCGGAGGCGCGGGUGGGGAUGGGGAGGCGCCGAGGAGGAGAGGGAAAAAGGUAUAGCAGCAAAGCGGUGCGGGGGAGAAUUGCCUUUCUAUUGCCUACCGCGGAAGAACAGCAUGCUGCGUCAGGUUAACAGCUGGUUACAAAACGCUUGA
rnacentral:rRNA from 1 species